GAGAACUCCAUUCUUUAAUUAUUUUUAACUUUUUUUAAAAAUAACUUUGAGGAAACCACUGGAUUCCCAUCAUUUCUCUUCCCACAGUGACUGGUGCUGAGGCACUUAAUAAAUAUUUGUGGAAUUGAAUCUGAGAGAAAAUAGAGAAAAUAGAAAGAAAUUAAUUUGAAAUUGUAGCCCUCCACCGCAGUAAGGCAGUAAUUGUAUUGUCUUCCAGUCUUUAUCCACCUCCCAGGUCACUGGGGCUUCUAUGAUUUGUUAGGUUUUUACAUAUUCAGGGCUCUCCCUCUUUGCCAAACUGUUAAAUCUUUGGUACUCAAAAUGUGAUUUUUUUUUUUUUUUCCAUGUGGAAGUUCCUGGGCCUGGGAUAGAACCCUGGUCACUGCAGAGACAAUGCCAGAUCCUUAACUGGCUGCGCUGCGCCUCACCUGCAACCCCAAAAUGUGGUCUUUAGACCAACAGCAUGGACAUUACCCAGGAGCUUGCUGGAUAUGCAGACUCCCAGGCCUACCACAUUCCACCUAAUUCAGCACUUUAAACAAGAUACUCGGGUGAUUCAGGAUCACAUUCAAAUUUGAGAAGAGGCUUCGACUGAAAGGAGCUACUCGAGGUCACUUGCUGGUUAGGGGCUGGACUGAGGUUGGAACCUGCCAAGUGUGCUGAUGGACAUCUCUCUGGAAUGACCCAUUAGACGUCUUCCUUCAUGGUAUUUAUUUGCUUUUUUAACCCUGGACUCAUAUAUACACUGUUUACACUA